rnacentral:rRNA from 1 species
UACAGAGGGUGCGAGCGUUAAUCGGAAUUACUGGGCGUAAAGCGCACGUAGGCGGCUUGGUAUGUCGGGUGUGAAAUCCCCGGGCUCAACCUGGGAACUGCAUCCGAAACUGGAUGGCUUGGAUUUGGGAGAGGGAUGCGGAAUUCCAGGUGUAGCGGUGAAAUGCGUAGAUAUCUGGAGGAACACCGGUGGCGAAGGCGGCAUCCUGGACCAAUAUUGACGCUGAGGAGCGAAAGCCAGGGGAGCAAACGGG